rnacentral:rRNA from 1 species
UACGAAGGGGGCUAGCGUUGCUCGGAAUCAAUGGGCGUAAAGGGAGCGUAGGCGGGUCUUUAAGGCAGGGGUGAAAUCCUGGAGCUCAACUCCAGAACUGCCUUUGAUACUGAGGAUCUUGAGUUCGGGAGAGGUGAGUGGAACUGCGAGUGUAGAGGUGAAAUUCGUAGAUAUUCGCAAGAACACCAGUGGCGAAGGCGGCUCACUGGCCCGAUACUGACGCUGAGGCACGAAAGCGUGGGGAGCAAACAGG